rnacentral:lncRNA from 1 species
GGAGGGACAGGACCUGACUCAGGGUCAAAGCCCAAGUCCUCCUGGUGGCCCACAAGGCCCUGCAUGACCUGCUCCAUCUCCUCCCUGCCCUCCAUUCCUCCCUCUCUCCCCCUCACUCUGCUCCAGCUACAUGGGCCUCCUCGCUGUUCCUCCAGCACCCCAAGUGCAGUCCUGCCUCAGGGCCUUUGCACAGGCUAUGCCUCUGCCUGGAACACUGUUCCUCUACAUUUUCUUGUCACUUUUCUUCUCACCCUUCCAUUCUCCCUCAAGGAUCACCUCCUCAGAAAUGCCCUGGCUGACCACCUGGCUCAAGCAGCACCCAUCACCC